rnacentral:rRNA from 1 species
CUACGGCGCUCCAGUGAGGAAUUUUGCGCAAUGGGGGAAACCCUGACGCAGCAACGCCGCGUGAGUGAUGAAGGCUUUCGAGUCGUAAAGCUCUGUCAAGUGGGAAGAACCUACUAAGUGCCAAUACCACUUAGUACUGACGGUACCACUGAAGGAAGCACCGGCUAACUCCGUGCCAGCAGCCGCGGUAAUACGGGGGGUGCAAGCGUUACUCGGAAUUAUUGGGCGUAAAGGGCGCGCAGGCGGCCAGGUAAGUCAGAUGUGAAAGCCCGGGGCUCAACCCCGGAAGUGCAUUUGAAACUACUUGGCUUGAGUAUGGGAGAGGGAAGUGGAAUUCCUGGUGUAGAGGUGAAAUUCGUAGAUAUCAGGAGGAACACCGGUGGCGAAGGCGACUUCCUGGACCAAUACUGACGCUGAGGCGCGAAGGCGUGGGUAGCAAACAGGAUUAGAUACCCCUGUAGUC